rnacentral:rRNA from 1 species
GUGGGGAAUUUUGGACAAUGGGCGCAAGCCUGAUCCAGCAAUGCCGCGUGUGUGAAGAAGGCCUUCGGGUUGUAAAGCACUUUUGGCAGGAAAGAAAUAGCGCGUGCUAAUACCAUGCGCGAAUGACGGUACCUGCAGAAUAAGCACCGGCUAACUACGUGCCAGCAGCCGCGGUAAGACGUAGGGUGCAAGCGUUAAUCGGAAUUACUGGGCGUAAAGCGUGCGCAGGCGGUUUUGUAAGACAGGUGUGAAAUCCCCGGGCUCAACCUGGGAACUGCACUUGUGACUGCAAGGCUAGAGUGGGUCAGAGGGAGGUGGAAUUCCGCGUGUAGCAGUGAAAUGCGUAGAGAUGCGGAGGAACACCGAUGGCGAAGGCAGCCUCCUGGGAUAACACUGACGCUCAGGCACGAAAGCGUGGGGAGCAAACAGGAUUAGAUACCCGGGUAGUCC